CGGACGGGUGAGUAAUGCUUGGGAAUCUAGCUUAUGGAGGGGGACAACUACGGGAAACUGUAGCUAAUACCGCGUAAUAUCGAAAGAUUAAAGUGUGGGACCUUCGGGCCACAUGCCAUAGGAUGAGCCCAAGUGGGAUUAGGUAGUUGGUGAGGUAAAGGCUCACCAAGCCGACGAUCUCUAGCUGGUCUGAGAGGAUGACCAGCCACACUGGGACUGAGACACGGCCCAG
rnacentral:rRNA from 1 species